rnacentral:rRNA from 1 species
GAUGAACGCUGGCGGCGUGCCUAAUACAUGCAAGUCGAGCGCGAGAUUGAGGAGCUUGCUCCUCAUGAUCGAGCGGCGGACGGGUGAGUAACACGUAGGCAACCUACCCUUGAGAUUGGGAUAACUACCGGAAACGGUAGCUAAUACCGGAUACGACUUUUCCACAUAAGUGGAAUGGUUAAAAGGCGGAUUUAUCUGCCGCUCAUGGAUGGGCCUGCGGUGCAUUAGCUAGUUGGUGAGGUAGUGGCUCACCAAGGCGACGAUGCAUAGCCGACCUGAGAGGGUGAUCGGCCACACUGGGACUGAGACACGGCCCAGACUCCUACGGGAGUCAGCAGUAGGGAAUCUUCCGCAAUGGACGAAAGUCUGACGGAGCAACGCCGCGUGAGUGAUGAAGGGUUUCGGCUCGUAAAACUCUGUUGUUAAGGAAGAACACUUGAGGUAGUAACUGGCCUUGAGAUGACGGUACUUAACCAGAAAGCCACGGCUAACUACGUGCCAGCCGCCGCAGUAA